rnacentral:rRNA from 1 species
UACAGAGGUGGCGAGCGUUAUUCGGAAUUAUUGGGCGUAAAGGGCGCGUAGGCGGCCACGCAAGUCUUGGGUGAAAUCCCUCGGCUCAACCGAGGAACUGCCUUGGAAACUGCAUGGCUCGAGGCCGGGAGAGGGUAGCGGAAUUCCCAGUGUAGCGGUGAAAUGCGUAGAUAUUGGGAGGAACACCGGUGGCGAAGGCGGCUACCUGGACCGGUUCUGACGCUGAUGCGCGAAAGCCAGGGGAGCAAACGGG